AACCCGAUGGUGUAAUGGUAGCACAAAUGAUGUUGGUUCAUUUAGUCGGAGUUCGAAUCUCUGUGGGGUUGCCA
rnacentral:tRNA from 1 species